rnacentral:piRNA from 1 species
GAGCCUGGAUAGCAUUCAGCAGUGGGUGU